UGUGUUCGGUAAACGCCUUCGAAAAGAAUGAGUGAAAAGAAAUUGUAACAGCUCCUAAAGACGAAUGCUCUAAUAUUUUUAAUUAUGAAACAAUUAUUCUCUCACUAUGCAUUGAUAAUACAGGUACUUGAGUUUGAGUUGGGUUAUAAAAACAAUAAUGUCUUAUAAAAAUUGUAGAUAUAUAUAUAUGCACUUAUUAUGUACUAGAUACCGUGGUAGGUGAUUUAUAAACAUCAUCUCAUUUAACCUCCAUUAGACUAUAAACUGCAUGAGGGCACAGACCAGGUCCUUGCGAUAUGUUGAGGGAUCAGUGUUUAACACAGUGGCUGGUGUAUGGCAGUGGCUGGUGUAUAGCAGUAGAGAGUGUCUGUGAAUUACUUCAGUAUAGAUUUAUGGAGCAUCUUCUUUGUCCUAGAGCAAACUGGCGAAUUGGCACUCGAUGCUAAUUCCCAGUAUCUGGGAUUUAGCAAUGUACAAAAUGCACACAAUCCCAGCCCUCAUGGAAAGUGGCCUUUAAGAAUAAAGACUGUAUUCAGGUGUAAAUUCUAUCUCUGCCACUCACCGACCAUGUGACUUCAGGCAGUUCCUUCAUGUCUCUGGGACUUGGUUUUCUCAUCUGUAAAAUGGACAUGGUGAUAAUAGUGCCUUGGUCCUAGAGUGUCUUGAAGAUAAAAGAACACUGUUUGGCUCAUGAUAUGUUCUCAGAUCAUGUCAAAUAUUAUUUUUAUUAUAGCCAUUCUGUAAGAAUUAAUGGAAUGAAUGUAUAAUUUCAUCCUCAACUCAGAUAGAAGGUAUAUUCUCUACUUAAUAAACAAGUAAUCUGCACCAGAGAGAGCUUGAUUCUUUUGCCCAAGGUCACUCAUCUGGUAAGAAGCAGGGGUGUAGUUUGUAUCCAAGUUCAUUCCAUUCCCCACUACUGCUGCUGCUGUGUUCCUAUUAACUGUGCAUGUUGGCAAGUGGCAUAAAUACAUAGGAUAGAAUUCCUGAGAGGAACUCAGGCAGGAGGGCAACUGGCAUGUUGAUUCCCAAUAAGAGUGGGGCAAGUAAGGUUAAAAAAAAUGUAUUGCAAAACUCCACCGGGGUCCAGAUGCUGAUGUGGGAGUAUUACCAAGUCUAGCUGUUACAUGCUGUUGUGCGCCAGUUGGAAGUGGGCUGCAUUUUCUUCAUGUGACAGCUGGUCUUGGUUGCAAGGAAUGCCUUGAAGCUGGCACCACAAUUCGGCCCAGAAACCAUUUGACUUGAUUCACAAAUAUGCAGCUGAAAAACUACAACCAAAGAGGUGUUGAUAUCAGAAUUGUAUCUGAAAGGCAGGCAAAACAGAAAUGAUUCUUUAUUAUUCUCUUACCAUAGUUAAAGAAACUGCACUUAGCUACAUAUCUCCAAUUUAGUAAUCUAUGUUUCCAAACACAUUAUUAAAUGGAGUAUGUAUUUACUUCUCUAUUGAUGUAGUGUUUUGAUCAACUGGAGACCUUGUUCUUGCAGGAGUUGUAAAAAAGUCUCCUUCAGGGUAUAGUUAAUAUAUUGGUCACAGGGAGUCUUGUUUAGGUUUUUUAGACUCAUCUCCAGUGUCACUUCAUCUUGGAUGACUUCAUUGAGUCUUGCAUUCACUCACUCAUUCAUUCAUGUAUUUAUACAAUUUAAAAUAUAUUUACAUGGAGUUGCCGUCAUGGCACAGCAGAAAGGAAUCCGACUAGGAACCAUGUGGUUGUGGGUUCAAUCCCUGUCCUCACUCAGUGGGUUAAGGAUCCGGCAUUUCCGUGAGCUGUGCUGUAGGUGGCAGACACGGCUUGGCUCUGAUGUUGCUGUGGCUGUGGCAUAGGAUGGCAGCUGUAGCUCUUAUUUGACCCCUGGCCUGGGAACCUCCAUAUGCCAUGGGUGUGGCCCUAAAAGAAUAAAUAAAUGAAAUAUAUUUACUGAAUUGCUACCAUAUAAAAGACUGUGGUAUAGAGCUUGGCAAAGUCUUUGUUCUUGUGGGAUUUGAAUUCACUUAGGGAGAUGUAUAAUACAGAAGCAAACCAACAAGAGAAUUAAAUCAAAUACAUAAAAUGGGAAAAAGACACUCUUUUCAGCAAGCAUUGCUGGGAAACCUGGACAGCUGCAUGCAAAUCAAUGAAACUAGAACAUAGCCUCACAUCAUGCAUGAAAAUAAACUCAAAAUGGCUUAAAGACUUAAAUAUGAGACAAGACACCAUCAAACUCCUGGAAGAGAACAUAGGCAAAACAUUCUCUAACAUCAAACUUAUGAACAUUUUCUCAGGUCAGUCUUCCUAAGGCAACAGAAAUAAAAGCAAAAAUAAACCAAUGGGACCUAAUCAAUCUGACAAGCUUUUGCACAGCAAAGGAAACCAAAAAGAAAACAAAAAGACAACUUACAGAAUGGGAGAAAAUAGUUUCAAAUGAUUCAACUGACAAGGGCUUAAUCUCUAGAAUAUACAAGCAACUUAUACAACUCAACAGCAAAAAAGCCAAUAACCCAAUGGAAAAAUGGGCAAAAGACCUGAAUAGACAUUUCUCCAAGAAAGAUAUACAGAUGGCCAACAAGCACAUGAAACAAUGCUCAACAUCCCUGAUUAUUAGAGAAAUGCAAAUCAAAACUACAACAAGAUACCACCUCACGCCAGUCAGAAUGGCCAUCAUUAAUAAGUCCACAAAUAACAAACGCUGAAGAGGGUGUGGAGAAAGGAAACCCUCCUGCACUGUUGGUGGGAAUGUAAGCUUGAACAACCACUAUGGAGAACAGUAUGGAGGUACCUUAGAAAACUAUGCAUAGAACUACCAUAUGAUCCAGCAGUCCCACUCUUGGGCAUAUAUCCAGACAAAAUUUUCCUUAAAAAAGACACAUGUACCCACAUAUUCAAUGCAGCACUAUUCACAAUAGCCAAGACAUGGAAUCAACCCAAAUGUCCAUUGACAGACGAUUGGAUUAGGAAGAUGUGGUAUAUAUACACAAUGGAAUACUACUCUGCCAUAAAAAAGAACAAAAGAAUGCCAUUUGCAGCAACAUGGAUGGAACUAGAGACUCUCAUACUGAGUGAAGUAAGUCAGAAAGAGAAAGACAAAUACCAUAUGAUAUCACUUAUAUCUGGAAUCUAAAACAUGGCACAAAGGAACCUCUCCACAGAAAAGAAAAUCAUGGACUUAGAAAAUAGACUUGUGGUUGCCAAGGGUGAGGGGUGGAGUGUGGGAUGGAUGGGGUGCUUGCAGUUAAUAGAUGCAGACUAUUUUCUUUGUAAUGAAUUAGCAAUGAGAUCCUGCUGUGUAGCACUGGGAACUAUGUCUAAUCACUUUUGAUGGAGAAUGAUAAUGUGAGAAAAAGAAUGUAUGCAUGUCUGUGUAACUGGGUCACCAUGCAGUAUAGUAGAAAACUGACAGAACACUGUAAACCAGCUAUAAUGGAAAAAAGAAAUAAAAAUCAUAAUUUUAAAAAAAAUUCCUGAUGAUGAUCAUUUCUUUGAAGAGGUAGGUUAUGUUGCAUGCCUCUCUGAGGUUGCCUUUGUGCUGAAGCCUGCAUGUUGAGAAGGAAUGGCCAUGAAUAGAGAUAGGUGAAGAAACACUGUGGGCAGAGGGAAAGGAUAGUUCAAGAGUCCUAAAGGUAAUAAGGGAGGUCUUUGUGCCUAGAUCUCAGAGAGUGGAGGUGGGGAAUGGAAAUGAGGCCAAAGGGAGUGACGGACCACAUCAUCUCGGAGCUUGUGGGACUUGGAUUUCAUUCUAGGUGGAGUGGUCAGUCCUCAGGACUCAGAUUAUGGAGAUGGCAUGACCUAAUAUUUUUCUUUAUAUUCCUAAGAGGACUCUGUAGAAUGAAUAAAUACAUCGUUGUACACAUAGCAAUCAAUGAAAUGGAAUUGAGGGUCCAAGAAUAAUUCUCAUAUUUAUAGUCAAUCUUCAGCAACAGUGCCAAGACUUAAAUGGGGGAAUGAACAUUUUUUUCCACAAAUGGCACUGAGACACCUGACUAUCCAUAUACAAAUGAAUGCAGGAGGAUCUUACAUCACAUACAAAAAUUAAGAUGGAUCAAAGCCUAAAUAUAACAACUCAAUCUAUAAAACUCUUUGAAGAAAUAAAAUGGUUAAAUUCUGAUCUUGAACUUGUUACAGUUUCUUCUUAGGACACCUAAAGCAUGUAUAAUAAACUGCAAGUUGGAUAAAUUGGACUUCAUCAAAUUAAAAAAAAAACUGUACAUGAAAGGAUAUAGUCAAGGAAGUGAAAGGAUAAAGCAUAGAAUGGGAGAAAGCAUUUGUAUAUCAUAGCUCUAAUAUGAAUGGUAUCCAAAAUAUAUGAAGAGGUCUUAACAAUUCUAUUAUAUAAAGACGAAUAACCCAAUUUAAAAAUAUGCAAUAGACUUGAACAAACAUUUCUCCAAAGGAGAUAAACAAUUGGCUAAUAAGAAAUUUAAAAGAUGCUCAUCAUCAUUAAUCACUUGGGAAAGGCAGCCACAAACUGCAAUGAAAUUCUGCGUCACACCAACUAGAAUGGUUAUAGCUUUUAAAAGUUAGGUAUAACUAGUGUUGGCUGGGAUUCCGAGAAACCGGAACCCUCAUGUACUGCUGGAAAGAACGUAAGAUUGUGUAGUUACUUUGGAAAAGAGUCUGGCAACUCCUCAAAUGUUAGACAUAGAAUUACUAUAUGCUUUAACACUUCCCAUUUCUAAGUAUGUGCCCCGAAUAAAUGAAAACAUAUACCCACACAAAUGCUUAUACAAUAUUUUUCUCAGUAUUUAAAAAGUGGAAACAACCCAAAUAUCCCUUAUCCAAUGAAUAGAUACAUAGAAUGUGACUUAUGUAUACAUGACAUUUUACUUGACAAUAAAAUAAAUAUACUGCUGAUGCAUAGUUCGUAUAUGAACUUUGAAAACAUUCAGUGCAAGGAACCAGUCACAAAGGACCAUAUUUUGUUUAAUGAUAUGUAUAUGAAAUGUUCAGCACAGGCAAAUCUGUAGAGACAGAGGGUAGAUUAAUGGUUGCCUAGAGCUGAGGGGUUAGGAGUUUGGGGGAUUAUGGUUAAAGAGAGUGCAUUUUCUUUUUGACAUAAUGAAAAUGUUCUAAAAUUGAUUGUGGUGAUGGAGCAUCACUCUGUGAACGUAAUAAAGUCAUUGAAUUGUGAGCUUUAAAUAGAUGAAUUGUGUAAAGUGUGAAUUAUAUGUCAAUGAAACUAUUUUUUUUUAAAUACAGUGUCAGGAAGGCAAGAUUAGAGGCAAAAUUAGGAUGCUGUUGCUGUUGUUUAAGUGGAGAUGACAGUGGCUUGAGCAAUGAUAAUCUGGUCAUCCCAUCUUUUACUGUCGGGCCAGGCCAAAGUAAAUAUUCUUUUCAUUUAUUCUCAUGUGUCUACCUAUGUCAUCAAUACUUUCACACUGCAAUGGCAUGAUCUGCACAGCUGUCUCUCUCCCUUAUUAAAUGGUAAAAUUGCCAUGAAUGACUUUGCUCUUAUGUCAUGUACAGUUCUCUGUACUGCAGUGUCUGUAUACAGUAUGAACUGAAUAAAUGUGAAGUGAGCUGAUCUGAGCCAGCACUUGGUGGCAUUAGAGAUGUAUCAGAUGUCUCUAGGAGGUAUAAACCUGAGUGCAAUUAAAAUUGUAUCCAGCACUCUCUUUUUCUCUCAUCCUCAUCUUUGCCUAGAACUGAGUUCAGAGAAUUUACCUGAAGGAGAAAAUAACACACAAAAAGAAAGUCUUAGUUAUCAGAAAUGAAAGAGUAGAAAGAAGUGAAAGAAAGAAAACUGUCCUUAUUUGCAGACACCAUGACUGUCUAGGUAGAAAAUCCCAAGGAAUUUAUAAAAACAACUUUUAGAACUAUUAAGUGAAUUUAAUGAGAUCAUAGAAUGUGAAGUGAAUGUACACAAUUGCAUUUCUGUACGCUAGCCAUGUACAGUUGGAAAUCAAAAGUUUAAAGUAACACCAGUUACAAUAUACUCAAAAAUAAAAUACAUGUGUAUAAAUAUAAGAAAACAUGUAUAGGAGUUCCCUUCAUGGCUCGGUGGUCAAUGACCCUGACUAGGAUCCAUGAGGAUGUGGGUUCGAUCCCUGGCUUUGCUCAGUGGGUUAAGGAUCCAGUGUUGCUGUGAGCUGUGGUAUAGGUUGCAGUUGAGGCUUCGAUCCUGCGUUGCUAUGGCUGUGAUGUAGACUGGCAGCUGUAGCUCCAACUCGACCUUUAGCCUGGGAACCUCCAUAUGCCACAGGUGCAGCCCUAAAAUGCAAAAAACAAAACAAAACAACCCCCCCCAAAAAAAAACAAAAAAAAA
rnacentral:lncRNA from 1 species